UUUUUAAAAAAAAAUUGAACCCCCUUUUUCUUUUUUCUCCUCUGCUAGGGUUUUGAAACCCAUCAUCACACCAUCGCCGAACCGCCUUGGCUCCAAGGCUCCACCGUGGACGGUGGUCGGAGCCAUGCCAAGAUCGGAUUCGAGUGACGUGAGCGGCCAGACGCGUGCGAGGAGGCGUGCGGCGGCCAAGGUUGAAGGGGGCAUGCGGCGGCUGAAGCUUGGAGGGGUUAAGGUUUGCUGAAAUGUUUUGUGUAGUUGGGCUAGUUGGACUUUGGGGUUUCUAGACUUUCGGGCUUGUUGGGCUUGGGUAUAAUAUGUAAAUGGACAUUCAUUUUGGACUGUUUUAUUAUUUGUUUGGGUUUUAUUA